CAAAUGCAGUUGAAACAUAACAAUUGUCGCGUGGCUUGUGCAGCGAUGAGCAGAGAGAGAAAAAAAGCAGCCGUGUUUAAAUAACAAUAGUCAUCGCUUAUUGUUGUUGCCCCAACUAAUUUGAACUGUGCAUGUGUGUGCGAGUCUGAUUGUGUUUGUGUGUGAAGGCGCGUUGGCGUUUGUGUUGUUGUUGUUUUUUCUUUGCUCAGCAGCUCAGACACAAAAAAACCGAAAGAAAGAAAUAUUCAGAGAAUUUUGAGUUUGUUUCUCGUUCUUCCUGCCAAAGAGAGAGAAGCGUAAAAAGAAGCAACAAACAAGACAAAACAAUAAAAAAAAUCAAGGGAACACACAACACACAUGCAAAGCAACAAAAGAAAAGGCAAAUAAAAGAGAGCGAGAGAGCGCGAAUUGUGUCAGUGACGCCAAAAAAUUUAAAAAUAUCAAUAAUGCCCACCAGUGUUUUAUUUUCGUUUCGCCAAACGGUUUAUAAUUAAUUAACUGCAACUAUAUUUAAUUGGUUUUGUGUCGGCAUUGUUUUUAUUGCUCUUUCGAUUGUGUUUCCUUCCACUGCCUUUGCCGUCGUUCUGCCUUUGCGAUUGCGAGACUGUCUUUGCAAAUUGUCUUUGCGUCGGCGGGUCGUGACUGGAUUCCAUUGAAUAUUUUACAAACAGAUGAUGCAUGUGGUUGUCACAGUUAAAACACCUAUAACUACAAAUUAAACACGACAACCAAGUGAAGACAAACCAAUAUCUACUGUAUAUUAUUUUAAAAACUGUAUAAUCCACCACUAUUUUAACCGAAAAUCUGUAAAAAAAAGUCUAUAAAACUAUAUUUCGUGAAAUUAACGCGUGUAAUCGAAAAGCGUUCGAGUAUUUAAUCAUCAUCGAAGGCGAAUGUCGAAAAGUGUUCCGAGGUCAAUGUUUCUGUUUCUGCUGCUGGCAACUCAUCGCCUAAAUUAAGUACACAAUCUGCAGCGAGUUCAGCGAGCAGGCGGAUAAAGGACUGACCCGCUCAAACAGGACUAGAACCAGCCAAACCAAUUCGACGCCAAUUUUAACUACUGUUGGUGGCGCCAGCAGCGAAUAG